rnacentral:rRNA from 1 species
AACAAACGCUGGCGGCGUGCCUAAUACAUGCAAGUCGAACGGGGAAAGCUUUCGGGUGAGUACUAGUGGCGCACGGGUGAGGAACGCGUGGAUAAUCUGCCUUAGAGUGGGGGAUAACUAGUCGAAAGAUUAGCUAAUACCGCAUAAGACCACGAGGGCUGCGGCUUUUGAGGUCAAAGGUUUUUCGCUCUAAGAUGAGUCCGCGUAAGAUUAGCUAGUUGGUGAGGUAACGGCUCACCAAGGCGACGAUCUUUAACUGGUCUGAGAGGAUGAUCAGUCACACUGGAACUGAGACACGGUCCAGACUCCUACGGGAGGCAGCAGUAGGGAAUAUUGCACAAUGGAGGAAACUCUGAUGCAGCGACGCCGCGUGAGUGAUGAAGGCCUUCGGGUCGUAAAGCUCUGUCGCAGGGGAAUAACACAAUGAAGGUACCCUGUAAGAAAGGAUCGGCUAACUUCGUG